rnacentral:rRNA from 1 species
GACGAACGCUGGCGGCGUGCUUAACACAUGCAAGUCGAACGGUGAAGCGCCUUCCUUUUUGGUGGGUGUGGAUGAGUGGCGAACGGGUGAGUAACACGUGAGUAACCUGCCCCCUUCUUCUGGAUAACCGCAUGAAAGUGUGGCUAAUACGGGAUAUUCUGGGUCUGUCGCAUGAUGGGUCUGGGAAAGAUAUUGUUUCGGUGGGGGAGGGGCUCGCGGCCUAUCAGCUUGUUGGUGGGGUGAUGGCCUACCAAGGCGGGGACGGGUAGCCGGCCUGAGAGGGUGGACGGUCACACUGGGACUGAGACACGGCCCAGACUCCUACGGGAGGCAGCAGGGGGGAAUAUUGCACAAUGGGCGCAAGCCUGAUGCAGCGACGCCGCGUGAGGGAUGGAGGCCUUCGGGUCGUGAACCUCUUUCGCCAGUGAAGCAGGCCUGCCUCGUUUGUGGGUGGGUUGACGGUAGCUGGAUAAGAAGCGCCGGCUAACUACGUG